CCUACGGGGGGCAGCAGUGAAGAAUAUUGGUCAAUGGCCGGAAGGCUGAACCAGCCAUGCCGCGUGAAGGUCAGUGCCCUAUGGGCGUUAAACUUCUUUUGUGCGGGAGCAAUAAUGGUCACGUGUGGCCAGACGAGAGUACCGUACGAAUAAGCAUCGGCUAACUCCGUGCCAGCAGCCGCGGUAAUACGGGGGAUGCAAGCGUUAUCCGGAUUUAUUGGGUUUAAAGGGUGCGUAGGCUGUGAGGUAAGUCAGCGGUGAAAUGCCCCCGCUCAACGGGGUGAAGUGCCAUUGAUACUGCCUUGCUGGAAUGCGGAUGCCGUGGGAGGAAUGUGUGGUGUAGCGGUGAAAUGCAUAGAUAUAUGGAAGAACACCAGUGGCGAAGGCGGCUGUCUGGUCUGCAACUGACGCUGAGGCUCGAAAGCAUGGGUAGCGAACAGGAUUAGAUACCCUGGUAGUC
rnacentral:rRNA from 1 species